GCUGACACAGGAAGUGUUUAGGACAUAAGAUGGACAUUAGUGCAGCACUUCACUAUGUAGUUAGAUAUGAAGAAAUCUUUCCUUGGAUCACUCAGAUUAGUUGAUAGCAUGACAUAUAAAUAGUUUCAACAUAAAUUAUUUGAAAUUCAAUAUAUAUUUACGAUGGAUAGAUUGGAUUUGAUAAAUAAAAAGGAAAAUUAAAAGAGGAAAUAAAAAGGAAGUUUCAAAGGCUUGAAGUGUUCAACAUAGCUUGCACUGUAAGUUAAGUUUAUUGGCCAAGUACUCACAUACAAGGAAUUUGCCUUGGUGCUCCGCUCACAAGUGACAAUAUGACACACAGUGACAUGUUAGGAAUGAUACAUAAAAAAU